rnacentral:misc_RNA from 1 species
GUAACAAGGUCUCCGUUGGUGAACCAGCGGAGGGAUCAUUACCGAGUUUACAACUCCCAAACCCCUGUGAACAUACCUUAUGUUGCCUCGGCGGAUCAGCCCGCGCCCCGUAAAAAGGGACGGCCCGCCGCAGGAACCUUAAACUCUGUUUUUAGUGGAACUUCUGAGUAUAAAAAACAAAUAAAUCAAAACUUUCAACAACGGAUCUCUUGGUUCUGGCAUCGAUGAAGAACGCAGCAAAAUGCGAUAAGUAAUGUGAAUUGCAGAAUUCAGUGAAUCAUCGAAUCUUUGAACGCACAUUGCGCCCGCCAGUAUUCUGGCGGGCAUGCCUGUUCGAGCGUCAUUUCAACCCUCAAGCCCAGCUUGGUGUUGGGAGCUGCAGUCCUGCUGCACUCCCCAAAUACAUUGGCGGUCACGUCGAGCUUCCAUAGCGUAGUAAUUUACAUAUCGUUACUGGUAAUCGUCGCGGCCACGCCGUUAAACCCCAACUUCUGAAUGUUGACCUCGGAUCAGGUAGGAAUACCCGCUGAACCUAAGCAUAUCA